rnacentral:rRNA from 1 species
GACAGAGGUGCCAAGCGUUAGGCGGAAUCACUGGGCUUAAAGCGUGUGUAGGCGGAUGCCUAAGUAUCUUGUGAAAUCCCACGGCUCAACCGUGGAACUGCUUGAUAUACUGGGUGUCUUGAGCCAUCUAGGGGCUACCGGAACAAAUGGUGGAGCGGUGAAAUGCGUAGAUAUUGGGAAGAACACCGGUGGCGAAGGCGGCGACCUGGUCCGAGACUGACGCUGAGGCGCGAAAGCGUGGGGAGCAAACAGG